rnacentral:rRNA from 1 species
GACGAACGCUGGCGGCGUGCUUAACACAUGCCAGUAGAACGGAAAGGCCCUGCUUUUGUGGGGUGCUCGAGUGGCGAACGGGUGAGUAACACGUGAGUAACCUGCCCUUGACUUUGGGAUAACUUCAGGAAACUGGGGCUAAUACCGGAUAGGAGCUCCUGCUGCAUGGUGGGGGUUGGAAAGUUUCGGCGGUUGGGGAUGGACUCGCGGCUUAUCAGCUUGUUGGUGGGGUAGUGGCUUACCAAGGCUUUGACGGGUAGCCGGCCUGAGAGGGUGACCGGCCACAUUGGGACUGAGAUACGGCCCAGACUCCUACGGGAGGCAGCAGUGGGGAAUAUUGCACAAUGGGCGGAAGCCUGAUGCAGCAACGCCGCGUGCGGGAUGACGGCCUUCGGGUUGUAAACCGCUUUCGCCUGUGACGAAGCGUGAGUGACGGUAAUGGGUAAAGAAGCACCGGCUAACUACGUG